UUAUCCCGAGUGCCGUCCGAUGAGGAUGGCUUUUCAUCGGUGUAAGGAUCCGAUGGAAUAAAGGGGGGGCAAGACUGGUGUCAGCCGCCGCGGUAAUACCAGCCCCCUGAGUGGUAGGGACGAUUAUUUGGCCUAAAGCGUUCGUAGCCGGCUUAUCAAGUCUUUUGUUAAAUCCAGCGAUUCAAUCGUUGGGCCGCAAAAGAUACUGUUAUGCUAGAGGACGGGAGAGGUCGACGGUAGUCCAGGGGUAGGGGUGAAAUCCUAUAAUCCUUGGAGGACCACCAGUGGCGAAGGCGGUCGACUAGAACGUGCCUGACGGUGAGGGACGAAAGCUGGGGGAGCGAACCGGAUUAGAUACCCGGGUAGUCCCAGCCGUAAACGAUGCGGGCUAGGUGUUGGGGCAGCCACGAGCUGCUCCAGUGCCGCAGAGAAGUUGUUAAGCCCGCCGCCUGGGGAGUACGGCCGCAAGGCUGAAACUUAAAGGAAUUGG
rnacentral:rRNA from 1 species